GGAGGGCGCAAGCGUUGUUCGGAAUCAUUGGGCGUAAAGAGCGUGUAGGCGGCUUGGCAAGUCGGAUGUGAAAUCCCGGGGCUCAACCCCGGAACUGCAUUCGAAACUACCUCGCUAGAGUCCCGGAGAGGAGGGUGGAAUUCCCGGUGUAGAGGUGAAAUUCGUAGAUAUCGGGAGGAACACCAGCGGCGAAGGCGGCCCUCUGGACGGUGACUGACGCUGAGACGCGAAAGCGUGGGGAGCAAACAGGAUUAGAUACCCUGGUAGUCCACGCCGUAAACGUUGGGUGCUAGGUGUCGCGGGUAUUGACCCCCCUGCGGUGCCGUCGUUAACGCAUUUAGCACCCCGCCUGGGGAGUACGGUCGCAAGGCUA
rnacentral:rRNA from 1 species